rnacentral:rRNA from 1 species
GACGAACGCUGGCGGCGUGCUUAACACAUGCAAGUCGAACGGUGAAGCGCCUUCCUUUUUGGUGGGUGUGGAUGAGUGGCGAACGGGUGAGUAACACGUGAGUAACCUGCCCCCUUCUUCUGGAUAACCGCAUGAAAGUGUGGCUAAUACGGGAUAUUCUGGGUCUGUCGCAUGAUGGGUCUGGGAAAGAUAUUGUUUCGGUGGGGGAUGGGCUCGCGUCCUAUCAGCUUGUUGGUGGGGUGAUGGCCUACCAAGGCGGUGACGGGUAGCCGGCCUGCGAGGGUGGACGGACACACUGGGAGGGAGACACGGCCAGGACUGCUCCGGGAGGCAGCAGUGGGGGGUAGAGAACAAUGGGGGCAAGCAUGAAGCGGCGGCGCCGCGUGAGGGAUGGAGGCCUGCGGGUUGUGAACCUCUUUCGGUAGUGAAGCAGGCCUGCCUCGUUUGUGGGUGGGUUGACGGUAGCUGGAGAAGAAGCGCCGGCUAACUACGUG